CCUGCAUCCCGAAGAACAGUGCAGGAGAAAAAUCCUUGUGUUUUUUCUCUUAGGAAAGUCCUCGAACAUUGCUGAAAAUGCUUCUUUUUCGUUUAGUAAUAGAUCGAUACUGUUGGAUUAUGGUCAAAUCAAACUCAAUGAGGCUUACUCUCGGAUGCAG
rnacentral:RNase_MRP_RNA from 1 species